CGGGUGAGUAACGCGUGAGGAACCUGCCUCAAAGAGGAGGACAACAGUUGGAAACGACUGCUAAUACCGCAUAAGCCCACGGCUCGGCAUCGAGCAGAGGGAAAAGGAGCAAUCCGCUUUGAGAUGGCCUCGCGUCCGAUUAGCUAGUUGGUGAGGUAACGGCCCACCAAGGCGACGAUCGGUAGCCGGACUGGGAGGUUGAACGGCCACAUUGGGACUGAGACACGGCCCAG
rnacentral:rRNA from 1 species